ensembl:lncRNA
GUGUGUGUGUGUGUGUGUGCCGGUCUUCGUGUGUGUGUGUUUCUUCGUAGGUCUGUGUGUGUUUCUUCGUGUGUGUGUGUGUGUGUGUGUGUGUGUUUCUUCGUAGGUCUGUGUGUGUGUGUGUGUGUGUGUGUGUGUGUCUUCAUACGCCUGUGUGUGUGUGUGCGUUGGUGCACAUCCAUCCCUGAUGAUUUUCAGGUUGUUUACAGUGGACCCUGCCAGAGCAGGUGUCAGCUGUGUUUAUGCUCUGGCAUAAAACUCAGGCAAACCCACCUGGGGAGGAAAGACUUGAAGCUUUACUUAUUGCCCCAACAAACAGCUUUUAGUUUCCAGGGAAUUAUUUGUGAGGCCAUUUUCUUUUUGUCUGUGUCCUGGAGUGAACUCACCAUGUCCUCAUUUCCAGGCUAUGCAUCUGACCUUACAUACUUUUAUUUUUGGUUAGAGAUAGAACAACAAUGAUUUCAAUGUGACAAACCCUUUGAGACACAGUGAUACUGUUUUGAAUGGUUUGAAAACUGAGAGUUUUGUCUGACAACUUCUAAAUAUGGAUGCUGUAGAACUCAUUUCCACAGAACAUAUUGGUGGUUUGUCUGAAUUUCAUUUGUUUAAAUUCUAGGCCAGAUAAUUUUAGGAUGAGCAAAGCUUAGUUUAAAUUAAGGAGACACGGGACCGACAGUCCCAGACUAUCGGGAAUGACAGUGCCAGAUCUGACCUGGCAACUGGAGGGCUGCUAGGCUUAGAUCGUGACAUUGUUUCCCUGAAAAAAUAUAUAAAUAAUAAUGUAAUAAAACUAUUUUUGGGGGUG